rnacentral:lncRNA from 1 species
ACAUCAUAUCUUCUAAAUCACCUUCCUUUCUUCAGCCAACAAUGUUCCUGUUAUUUCAGUGCCGCACAAAAUGGCCUAUAAGACACUAACAGCUGUGGCCUGCCUCGGCCAACCUUGUUGCAUUAGAUUAAAUCUACCUAAACAAAACUGUGAGCUCACGUAACUAAAGAAUAGAAACAAUACCAAAUCUAAACCAAUUACUAGCCCUCGGUACCGCUGUUGUACAUUAUAAAUUAUCUUUCUUUAAAUAUAUAUACUCCCCGUACCCUUUUGCAACAACAACCAAAAAAAACCCAGUUCCCCACCUGGAUUCAGGUGGGUUCAAGAAUUUACAUAAUAAUACAAAUAAAUCACGAAAAAUGCUUUGAAAAGUUCUAUGUAGAGAAUAAAUAUAAGAGGAAAAAUAAACAAUAGGCUAUAAGAAAUAAAGACUAGGUAUCUGAAACCAACAAAAUGAAUAUAAAAUUAUACAAAAAAUAUAGUUUAACCAUUCAUUAAAUCAUCCACCUUUUUUAUAUAAAGCAUAAACCAGUCCAAAGACAUGUCCUAACCAAAGAAGCAUUAUAAACUUUCCACAAAAACCAGGGAUUGAGUUAUAAUAUGACUAAGAUGCAAUUUACUAUUGUUGCAUUCAAGAGAAGUCCUAAUAAAUUUAAAGCUAAAAGAAACACAAACAAGCAGAAUUUCUAAUUAUAUGCAACAUGAUAUUCCUAACGACUGAUACAUUCCUAAAAUAAGUUGACAUUAUAAUUCAGCACAAGAUUACAACAGCAUAACCUAGCCAUGCUAGGACCCUCAUCCCAUAAACCUUGGUUAAGAUCAAUGUAAUGGAGACAUAAAGUCUCAAAGAAACUAACAUGAAAAUUUUACAUUGUAGUAAGUUUCCUAAAGCUUCUUUGAUGGUAUGUUUAGCUUUGGAAACCCAAGAAGGAACCACCAUGAAACUGUGUAACAAUAAGACCAGGGAUCAAUUAAGCACAUUCUCCACUAUAUUCAAUUAGACAACAGAUUGGCAAACAAUAGGCUGAGGUUUGCCAAAUCAUAGGGCUAUUUCAGAGAUCCCAAGACAACACCAUUUUCAGCUUUAACAUAAUAAAAUGCACUACUUCCCAUAUUCCAGAUAAGUCAUUGUUUUACAAGACUCCAACUAAUUACUUCAUACCAGUAUCUGCCCAAGUCAGAAAUUAUAGUUGACUUUAUCAUGAGCAUAAACAAAUGUGGCUAAUCAACCAAUAUAAACAUGCACUCAUCCUAAUGCAAGACACGAGCUAUACCAAUAGAAAAACAGAUAAUAAACCUAACACCACUUGGCCAGCCAAUCGAUUCUAAGGAUAAUGUGAUACCAACUGUCUAAAACACAAUUUCAACUAUAACUAGAUAUUUUGAGAACAUGAGAUCUUUUGUAGUCAUAGUCAUACUUCCCGAUGUCAUUAACAUCAAGCAAUUCCAUUCAUUGCACAUAAAAUACACUAAUUUCCAGGGCAGAUAAAUCUAGCAAAUCUAAUCUCCUAAACGAGCAGGACGCUAUUGCUUAGGCUAACAAUAAAGCAUGUUCAAUUGAACAGCAGAAAAAGACAUUAUUACCAAUAUAUGAAAGUCCAUAGAAGUAUAUUAAGAGGGAACACCCAAACCCAACUAAUUAUAGGCGAGAAGUGCAUAUUAUAUUACUAUACACAUUACCUGUGACCUAAAAGUUAUAUCUUUUUUAACCCGGUAACAUCUUUUUUUUGUAAGUGGUCCUGUUGUGGGAAACAACUUUGAGUCGUGGCCUCGGGGCCGACGCGGCUCGGUUCGGGUCCGAACAACGGGGAUCUCCCUGGGGCGUUCCUCGAGCCCGCUAGGGUGGUCGGGUGCGAUGGUCCGAUCGAGACGGUGUAACCGUCUCCUCCGGGCAGGAACUCCUCGCCUGCACGUCCAACGAUCAAGUCAGAUGAUAAUGGAGGGGUUUCAGAUGAAGAAGUGUUUUUGUGUGUCUUUCCCUCUCUCUGAUGAACGAGAGGAUAUUUAUAGGAAAGCUUACUGCUUCCUGAACUGCCCGCUUACAGAGGGUAGGUUGGUAGCGUCUGACGCUUGGAUUGGCGUGACGUGAAGAACGAAGCUUGAGCAAGGUGUUUAAUGUGCCUCGGUCAACGUUCCGAUCUGCAUUGAUCAGGUGCUGUCGCGUCGAUCAAGGCAUGAGGCGUCAUCUGACGUCAGCCGAGUCUUAUCAUAAUUACUAUCCUCAUCAAAAGGACAGGGCAAUCAUGUCAAUUUUGUUUGGGAUGCCCCAUUUCAGGAUAUCCUCCUUGUCCUUCUUUGUUAGAGUUGGAAGAUCGACGAUAACGCCGGGAAGAUUGACAUUUUUCCUCUCACCAAGGACUGUAGAAUUCUCGCAGCGGCAACGAACCAGUCCUGACUCCUUGUCACAAGCAAGCACCGUAAGUGUAAUAGUCCCGUCAGCACAUAAAAUGGCACUGUUUGGCUUCAAAUCCUCUGCUAGCAUUUUGUAGCUCAUUGAUAUCAUGUUUUCAUCACCCUUUAUGCUAUAAUCUGGAGUGAUAGUGAUUUCUUGGCCCUUUUGUAGAUGGAUAGGUUUGCCAUCUUUCAAAAACCCAAUCCGGAUCUCAGGGCCCUUCGUGUCGAGCAUGACAGCACAAAGGAUUCCGGUCUUGUCCAUCGCGACGCAGAGGCUGUCUAGGGUUUCCUGAUGGUAAGCGUGGGAACCGUGGGAGAAGUUGAACCUGGCCACAUUCAUCCCCGCCAUCAGAAACCUCUCGAUCAUCUCCACGGACCUCGAAGCCGGGCCCAAGGUGCACACGAUCUUAGUCUUCGGUCUUCCCCUCGACGCCUCCGCCAUUCCCGAUAAAGCUCCCACAGGUCCUACCCUCUCGGAGAAGAAUCACAGAGACCGGAUCGGAAAGAUGGGUCUGCGAAGUCGACGAGCACCAAUGAAGCCGACGGCGUGGCAGCUCAGGGUGGCCUGCCCGCCUGAGUCGAGCCCCCCUCAGGGCGGCCUCUCGGCCCAAGCCACGUCCCUCAACCAUAGACUGCCCGAGUCCACCUCAACGCGGCAUGCCCGCUUGAGUCGUGUCCCUCGACCUUUGCCAUAUCCCUCGGUCGUAGACUGCCCGAGUCCACCUCAGCGUGGCCUGCCCGCGUGAGUCGUGUCCCUCGGCCGUAGACUGCCGAGUCCACCUCAAGGCGGUCUGCCCGCCUGAGUCGUGUCCCUCAGCCGUAGACUGCCGAGCCCCCCUCAGGGCUAUCUGUCGCCCGAGCCACACCUCUCGGCCAUGUUGCUCGAGACCACGCCUGCGCGACCUGUCCGCUUGCGUCGUUCUCCUCGGUCGCGUGAUGCCCGAGACCACACCUGCGCGGCCUGCACACCUGCGUCGUGCUCCUCGACCNNNNNNNNNNNNNNNNNNNNUGCUCCUCGGCUCCAUGCUCCCUGAGACACACCCGCGCGGCCUGCCCGCCUGCAUCGUGCUCCUCGACCGUAGGUUGCCCGAGACACGCUUGCGUGGCCUGCCCGCCUACGUCGUGCUCCUCGGCUCCAUGCUCCCUAAGACACACCCGCGCGGCGUGCCCGCCUACAUCGUGCUCCUCGACCGCAGGUUGCCCGAGACACGCCUUCGCGACCUGCCCGCCUGCGUCGUGCUCCUCGGUCGCAGGUUGCCCGAGACACGCUUACGCGGCCUGCUCGCCUGCGUCGUGCUCCUCGGCUCCAUGCUUCCCGAGACCACGGCCUCCGCUCGGUCUAAUCUUCUGGGUGUACUCCUCGGCCGCACGCUACCCGGAUUCACCGCUGCACACUCGACCCUUCAAAGGCAAAGCCAUGCCUCAGACCCUCCCAUUUACGACAUAACUUCCUUCGAGGGGGGGGAAUAUGAUGGGGGUAAUAAAUGGCGACAAGAUUCGCGCAGACGUCAGCUAUCCCGGACGACACCUCACACCUCGAACGACCCGGCGGAACCUGGUCAAACGAACCAGAACACGCACCGAGACCCAUUAACGACCUGUUCAGACUCGGUCCUUCACGCCACGCCAACGCCCAUUUUAGACGCUAUCAGCCUGCCUCCUGCAGGCGGGCACAUCAAACUACAGUAAGCUUCCCUAUAAAUACCCCCGCAUUCCAAACGAAAAAGGAGGAGAACACCAACAUAGAUAACAAACUCCACUCUACAUCACUAACUUGAUCGUCGGAGGGGUCGGGCCGAGCUUCCGACUCGACCUGUGUGCAAGUAAGGAGAGGACGCCUUCCCCCCAGGACAUCCCGACGAAUCCAACGGUGAUCUGGUCCGCGCGGUCAGUCGCUCCGGCAAUCUCGAGAGACCUCGAGCAAAGAUCCCCGUCAUUCAACCCCGAACCAAGCCGCGUCGGCCCCGAGACACGGCACAAAAUUGUUUACACCUAACAGGUCCCUUGAAAUUACCACCACCAUGCAGUGUAGUUAUGCAGAUAUCAGAAGACGAAUGGUCAAAUAAGAGGGACUAACACUUACUGCUUUCAAAAUUAAGAAAAUUAAUGAUGAAUGCAGUAUAUAUUAUGGGAAAAAAGUAGCUUAUAACUUUUGAGCAUACAAAAUAAAUAUAUGGUGACAUGUUGGUUUUACUCAUUCAACCAAGACAAAUAAUAAAAGCUAACAAUUGUUGUAGCAAUCCAAUCAUGACGGCCAUAAUUCUGCAAGCACAUUCAAGUUACU